GUUGAGGGAGGAAACUGGAAAAAACCUGUCUUCUUCUUCCUUCCUUAAACUUUAGAAGUUCAAUUAUUCCUUUUAAUUGUACUUGAUCUCACAUUUCUACAGCUGUCGUGGAAGACAAAGAAUGCAUGGGUGUUUCUUUUUCAGGCCUGGGGAGAAAGAAAAACCAAAUUGCAUUGCACCGAACAUGCCCUUAAAACUACAGAUUUGUGCACAGUAAAAGGCUGCCUAGAAGAUCUGCUUGGGAAAGGAAGAAUUAUGAUGGCUGUACUGCAAGAGUUCUUAGGUGGCCAGAUGUUACAAUCAAAAUUGGAUCUCAGCAGUUGUUUUUAAGUAUAAUAUCAACACACACACACAUAUAUAAAAUGAGAAAUUCUAUUUUUCUCUUGGUUUGUGGACCAUGGGUAGAAACACCUGACCCACAAUUUUAAUUUAGCCAUCUGUAUCAUUUUCUAACCAUCUGCUGUUUGAUUUUGUCUAAAGUGUGCCAACAAUCCCCUGCGAGAUCAUGUGCAGGAGGAAAUGUCUAUGAACCUUUGUGGCAUGCAAGUGUACCCAAAAUAGCCAGUGCAUUUUAUUGAUGCAUGCAUGCAAUCUGGAGAAUAAAGCAUUAGAGAUAGGAUUUUAUAGAUAGCUG
rnacentral:lncRNA from 1 species